CCCAUAAUGAUUUCUUUGAGAAAUUUUAAUCAGGUUUUCCAUCACAGAGUGCAUUUGUUGCUGGCACUUGAUCUCUUGGCCAGCUGAAGCUUCUGUGCUCCUUUGUCUCUCGAGCAGUUGGGUCUUUUAUAAACUUUCUGGAGCAGUUAUUAAUCACGGAACUCUUUUACCUUUUUUGAGGUGCAAAACUGCACACGGAGUAAAAUACUGGUGUGGUGACACGAGCUAAUUAUCCGCAGCGCUGCUGAUAAGAGUUAGCAUGUUAGCAGUAAUGCCUACAACAGCGUAAUUACUCUGGGUUUCUGUUAUUUUGUAGCAACCAUAUAAUUAGCUGGCUGUACCAGGAGCUGUCUGCUUUUUAUGGCAACCUGUACUCACUAGAAAAGGCUGAGGGAGUGAUCUGUCGCCUUCAUGCUCGCGGGGUAGCGCCAGAAAAUAAGCGUGAAACAGAAGUUAAAAAUCAUACAUCAAACCCUUCUUUUUGGGUGCUGUUCCUGUGGCUAUGGCAUACACGAUAUCAUGGCCGAACUCCUACCGGCUUUCCUUACAGCCAGUGGAGUGGAGGUUUCUUCGUCGUGACUGUUCCCUAUCGUGAUCUGAGAGAGCUGCGAGACUGUGCCCAGGGUAGCAUCUUGUUUUCAGCCGUGUCCAGCAGUCACCUGCAGGGAGCUGCUUCGACACGGGACAGGCGGCAGUGCAGCACCGGCCUCUUCUGCGGGGUUCAGAACCACAGGCUGAAAGCACCCUGGAAGAGCAGUUCCCUUCAUCUCGCUUUGACUUGCCAGUUCUCUGUCCAGCUCCUCCUCCUUCCACCAUUUCAGCGCCAGCUUGACAAGCUGUCUUUACAGGAAAACGUCUAG
rnacentral:lncRNA from 1 species